GCCGGGCAUGGUGGUGUGUGCCUGUAAUCCCAGCUACCAGGGGGCUGAGGCAGGAGGAUCACUUGAACCUGGGAGGCAGAGGUUGCAGUGAGCUGAGAUCGUGCCACUGCACUCCAGCCUGGGCAACAAAGCGAGACUCUGUCUCAA
rnacentral:SRP_RNA from 2 species